CUGUAAUUACGUCAACUAGACAUGUAAAAAAUCGUCGAAAAUCGUAAAAAAAUAUAAAAAUGAUGAAAUAUGCCAUUUUAUAGUGAAAAGACGAAAGCCAUAACAAAAAUGUGCCUAGGAGUGGUAUAUCGUAUCACCGAUUUCCGAAGGAUCCACAAAUAAAAGGAAAAUGGAUCGAGAUGACUGGAAGACAAAAUUGGUUUCCUACCACUAACUAGUACAAUUUGUUUGGACCAUGUUGUACAACAAGAUAUUAUAUUAUGAGUAUAACCGAAAAAAAUACGCAAUUUUUUACUAUAAAUAAGUCUCAGUUAAAUUUCCAGAUUGUGCAGGUAGAAAUACCUAAUCACGUUAUGUAAUAUUGGUCACCAACUGAAGGGAAGUAACUUUAUUUAAUUAUGUUCAGUUUUAUUUUCUAUUUUUUGUAACAUACGACCAUAAUAAAAAAUACUUUAUAUAUA